rnacentral:rRNA from 1 species
CGACUCCACAAUGCACGAAAGUGUGAUGGGGGAAUCCUCCGUGCUCAUGUUCUGCAUGGGCUUUUGCCAAGGCCAGAGAUCUUGGCGAAUAAGGGGUGGGCAAGACCGGUGCCAGCCGCCGCGGUAACACCGGCGCCCCGAGUGGGAACUACUAUUAUUGGGCCUAAAGCGUCCGUAGCCAGUUUAAUAAAUUUUUUGUGAAAUUGUCGGGCUUAACCUGACAGCGUGCAAAGUAGACUGGUGAUCUUGAGACCGGGAGGAGUCAGAGGUAUGCAAAGGGGAGCGGUAAAAUGUUGUAAUCCUUUGUAGACCACCUGUGGCGAAGGCGUCUGACUAGAACGGUUCUGACGGUGAGGGACGAAAGCCAGGGGAGCGAAAUGGAUUAGAUACCCAUGUAGUCCUGGCUGUAAACGUUGCGAGUUAGGUGUUGCACAAAUUUCGUGUUUGUGCAGUAUCGUAGGGAAGCCGUUAAACUCGCCGCCUGGGAAGUAUGGUCGCAAGACUGAAACUUAAAGGAAUUGGCGGGGGAGCACAAGCCGAA